rnacentral:rRNA from 1 species
AAAUUGAAGAGUUUGAUCAUGGCUCAGAUUGAACGCUGGCGGCAGGCCUAACACAUGCAAGUCGAGCGGUAGCACAGAGAGCUUGCUCUCGGGUGACGAGCGGCGGACGGGUGAGUAAUGUCUGGGAAACUGCCUGAUGGAGGGGGAUAACUACUGGAAACGGUAGCUAAUACCGCAUAACGUCGCAAGACCAAAGUGGGGACCUUCGGGCCUCAUGCCAUCAGAUGUGCCCAGAUGGGAUUAGCUAGUAGGUGGGGUAACGGCUCACCUAGGCGACGAUCCCUAGCUGGUCUGAGAGGAUGACCAGCCACACUGGAACUGAGACACGGUCCAGACUCCUACGGGAGGCAGCAGUGGGGAAUAUUGCACAAUGGGCGCAAGCCUGAUGCAGCCAUGCCGCGUGUGUGAAGAAGGCCUUCGGGUUGUAAAGCACUUUCAGCGGGGAGGAAGGCGUUAAGGUUAAUAACCUUGGCGAUUGACGUUACCGCAGAAGAAGCACCGGCUAACUCCGUGCCAGCAGCCGCGGUAAUACGGAGGGUGCAAGCGUUAAUCGGAAUUACUGGGCGUAAAGCGCACGCAGGCGGUCUGUCAAGUCGGAUGUGAAAUCCCCGGGCUCAACCUGGGAACUGCAUUCGAAACUGGCAGGCUAGAGUCUUGUAGAGGGGGGUAGAAUUCCAGGUGUAGCGGUGAAAUGCGUAGAGAUCUGGAGGAAUACCGGUGGCGAAGGCGGCCCCCUGGACAAAGACUGACGCUCAGGUGCGAAAGCGUGGGGAGCAAACAGGAUUAGAUACCCUGGUAGUCCACGCCGUAAACGAUGUCGAUUUGGAGGUUGUGCCCUUGAGGCGUGGCUUCCGGAGCUAACGCGUUAAAUCGACCGCCUGGGGAGUACGGCCGCAAGGUUAAAACUCAAAUGAAUUGACGGGGGCCCGCACAAGCGGUGGAGCAUGUGGUUUAAUUCGAUGCAACGCGAAGAACCUUACCUGGUCUUGACAUCCACAGAACUUUCCAGAGAUGGAUUGGUGCCUUCGGGAACUGUGAGACAGGUGCUGCAUGGCUGUCGUCAGCUCGUGUUGUGAAAUGUUGGGUUAAGUCCCGCAACGAGCGCAACCCUUAUCCUUUGUUGCCAGCGGUUCGGCCGGGAACUCAAAGGAGACUGCCAGUGAUAAACUGGAGGAAGGUGGGGAUGACGUCAAGUCAUCAUGGCCCUUACGACCAGGGCUACACACGUGCUACAAUGGCAUAUACAAAGAGAAGCGACCUCGCGAGAGCAAGCGGACCUCAUAAAGUAUGUCGUAGUCCGGAUUGGAGUCUGCAACUCGACUCCAUGAAGUCGGAAUCGCUAGUAAUCGUAGAUCAGAAUGCUACGGUGAAUACGUUCCCGGGCCUUGUACACACCGCCCGUCACACCAUGGGAGUGGGUUGCAAAAGAAGUAGGUAGCUUAACCUUCGGGAGGGCGCUUACCACUUUGUGAUUCAUGACUGGGGUGAAGUCGUAACAAGGUAACCGUAGGGGAACCUGCGGUUGGAUCACCUCCUUA